UUAACUGUUUGUACUAGAGGUGUGAAUCUUCACUGAUCUCCCGAUUCGAUUACGAUUAUCCUGUCAACGAUUCACCGAUAUCUUGUUGCAUUGUGAUGCAUCACGAUGCGUCAAAUACAUAUUGUUAUUAAAGCCAUAUAGGAUAUUUAACUAAUUGCUUUUCAGACUUCAAAAACAUUGUGCAGUGCUCUAAUAGUAAAUAAA